CUAACACAUGCAAGUCGAGCGGCAGCGAGGUUAGUAGCAAUACUAAUUGUCGGCGAGCGGCGGACGGGUGAGGAACACGUAGGGAUCUGCCUUAGAGAGGGGGAUAACCAAGGGAAACUUUGGCUAAUACCGCAUAAACUCGGGAGAGAAAAGCUGCCUGCAAGGGUGGCGCUUUAAGAGGAGCCUGCGUCCGAUUAGCUAGUUGGUAGGGUAAAGGCCUACCAAGGCGAUGAUCGGUAACUGGUCUGAGAGGACGACCAGUCACACUGGGACUGAGACACGGCCCAGACUCCUACGGGAGGCAGCAGUGGGGAAUCUUGGACAAUGGGGGCAACCCUGAUCCAGCGAUGCCGCGUGGGUGAAGAAGGCCUUCGGGUUGUAAAGCCCUUUAGGUUGGGAAGAAGUGCAUAAGUUUAAGAGAUGUAUGCAUUGACGGUACCGACAGAAUAAGCACCGGCAAACUCUGUGCCAGCCGCCGCGGUAA
rnacentral:rRNA from 1 species